rnacentral:rRNA from 1 species
CAGUCGCCACGGUAAGACAGAGGAUGCAAGCGUUAUCCGGAAUGAUUGGGCGUAAAGCGUCUGUAGGUGGCUUUUCAAGUCCGCCGUCAAAUCCCAGGGCUCAACCCUGGACAGGCGGUGGAAACUACCAAGCUGGAGUGCGGUAGGGGCAGAGGGAAUUUCCGGUGGAGCGAUGAAAUGCGUUGAGAUCGUAAAGAACACCAACGGCGAAAGCACUCUGCUGGGCCGACACUGACACUGAGAGACGAAAGCUAGGGGAGCAAAUGGGAUUAGAUACCCCAGUAGUCCCUGUCUCUUAUAC